CCCACCCCUCCGCCGGCGGCCCACCAAACCCUGUUUAGCACUGCAUCUCUGAAGCGAUAAACUAAAUCAGUUAAAACUUUCAACAACGGAUCUCUUGGUUCUGGCAUCGAUGAAGAACGCAGCGAAAUGCGAUACGUAGUGUGAAUUGCAGAAUUUAGUGAAUCAUCGAAUCUUUGAACGCACAUUGCGCCCACCAGUAUUCUGGUGGGCAUGCCUGUUCGAGCGUCAUUUCAACCCCUUAAGCCCUUGUCGCUUAGUGUUGGGAGCCUACGGCGUCCUUUGCCGUCGCUCCUCAAAUCCAGUGGCGGAGCCGGUUUCGCGCUCUGGGCGUAGUAGAUUUUCUCCAUCUCGCCUACAGCCGGGCCCGGCCUUCCCUGCCGUAAAACAAACCCCCCCAAUACAGAAAGGUGACCUCGA
rnacentral:rRNA from 1 species